ACACAGGCAGCUCUAGCGGUAGCAAUUUUUAUUGGGCCUAAAGCGUCCGUAGCCGGUUUAAUAAGUCUCUGGUGAAAUCCUGUAGCUUAACUAUGGGAAUUGCUGGAGAUACUAUUAGACUUGAGACCGGGAGAGGUUAGAGGAACUCCCAGGGUAGAGGUGAAUUUCUGUAAUCCUGGGAGGACCGCCUGUUGCGAAGGCGUCGAACGGGAACGGUCCUGACGGUGAUGGACGGAAGUUAAGGGCGCGAACCGGAUUGGAUACCCAGGUAGUCCUAACUGUAAACGAUGCCGACUUGGUGUUGGGGUGGCGUUGAGCUUCUCCAGUGCCGAACGGAAGCUGUUUAGUGCGGCGCCUGGGAAGUACGGUCGCAAGACGGAAACUUAAAGGAAUUGACGCGG
rnacentral:rRNA from 1 species